UUAAAGACGAUGAACGAAAGAAGUACUUUGUGACUAACUUUACAGCGAGAACUAACUGGUGGAAGGGUUUAAGUAUAGCCAAGGGAAAUGCAUUCGGGAGUUAACAGGCUGAAUAGAGUAAGUUUGUUCGGAUACGCCCGUUAUGCGUUGGAGAGAGUGCUAUCAGUACUUAACAGAGUGGAACCGCGGGCCACCGUCUCUGUA
rnacentral:ncRNA from 1 species